CCCGUAGCCAAAUUACAUUCGCUCCUUAUCGAUUCGAUCUCUACGAUCGCGAGCGACUGGUCGAUAAUGUUUAUAAUAACCUAGCCAAGAGGCAAUCUUUUUAGUUAACGCUCAUUCUACGCGCCAAGUCGGUAAAAAUUAAUUUUUGUCUGUGGUUCUCGUUCAAAACCGUCAAGAAACAUCAUCUGUCAGCUGUCAAGAGUAUCAAGUGAACAGCGAAUCUAAUUUUGGAGAAAAUAAUUGUUUUAUCGGUAAGCAAAUUAAAUAUUUUGGUAUUUGUUUAACUUAGUUUAUCACAAUUUCGUGAUAAAAUAACUCUAUAUAGUGUAAUAUUUGAAGAGUGCGUUGUUAAUUGCAUAUAAUUUUGACCUAAAGUUUAACAAUUUCAGACAGCCGUCGUCCCCGCAGCCCCAACCAAGGCGGCGACGCAGCCAGAGCGGGCAAGAGCGGCUCCGCGGGCUCUUCUUCCACGCUGAGAAGUUCUCGCCAAGUUGGCACGUACAGUCAGAGCUGCCGCUGCAAUGACGCCUUCAUGGCAGUUACCAGUGCUAAGGACGUGCACUGCUGGCUUACUUGACCAGAAGAGACAAUACUUUAAGCGUUAGUAUUGAUUCAAACCGUGAAGUGAAAUUGUGGACAGGUUUGCCCGAAUCAGUGUAACCUCAGUGAACUCAUUUACUUCAUAGACUUCAAACAUUUUCGAAAUUAUCAAAAGUCAAGCGGACAUUGAAUACAUAGAUAAGAUGCAUUAGAUAAGAUAAAAGCUGCCUGUGAAACCAAAACUAAUAAAUCAUAUUGUUACUUAAUAUUAUUUUUUUAUUACCUACCUCUACUACUGGCUGUUCAUAUUUAACCUUUUGUAUGCUCCUGUCAAAAAUUUGUAAUUUAUAUAUCAAUCAUAAUUGAAUAAAAUAAAAUAAAUAAAUAAAUAUUGGGGACAUCUUACACAGAUCAACCUAGCCCCAAACUAACCAAAGCUUGUACUAUGGGUGCUAGGCGACGAUACACAUACUUAUAUAGACAAAUACAAACUUAUAUACAUAGAAAACACCCAUGACUCAGGAACAAAUAUUAGUGUUCAUCACACAAAUAAAUGCCCUUACUGGGAUUCAAACCCAGGACCAUCGGCUUAGCAGGCAGGGUCACUACCCACUAGGCCAGACCGGUCGUUUUACAAAGACAACUUUUAAAAAUUAUUGCAUUUUUUAAAGUUGAAUAUAGGUAAGUACAUGGGAGCAGAUCUGCUCCUAAGCAUACCAUAAGUUAAGGUGGUAACCACCAUAAAUAAAUGAAACAAUGAUUG